AAUCAACGCUGGCGGCGUGCCUCAGACAUGCAAGUCGAACGCGAAAUUUCCCUUCGGGGAGAAAGUAGAGUGGCGCACGGGUGAGUAACACGUAGGUAAUUUGCCUUUGGGUGGGGAAUAACUCAGGGAAACUUGAGCUAAUACCGCAUAAUGCAGCGGCUCGACAUCGAGACAGUUGUUAAAGCGGGGGAUCGCAAGACCUCGCGCCUAAAGAGAAGCCUGCGGCAGAUUAGCUAGUUGGUAGGGUAAUGGCCUACCAAGGCAACGAUCUGUAACCGGCCUGAGAGGGCGGUCGGUCACACUGACACUGACAUACGGGUCAGACU
rnacentral:rRNA from 1 species